ACCCCACUGCUAUCGGGAUGGGACUAAGACAUGCUAGUCGUGCGCUUCCAGCCAUGUGGGAGGCGCGGCAGACAGCUCAGUAACACGUGGCUAACUGCCCUUAGGAUGGGAACAACCCCGGGAAACUGGGGCUAAUUCCCGAUAGGUGAGGAACUCUGGAAUGAGUCUUUGCCCAAAAGGUGUCGGAUCAUGCUUUCGGCAUCGCCUAAGGAUGGGGCCGCGACCGAUCAGGUUGUUGGUGAGGUAAUGGCUCACCAAGCCUUUUACCGGUGCGGGCCGUGAGAGCGGGAGCCCGGAGAUGGGCACUGAGACAAGGGCCCAGGCCCUACGGGGCGCAGCAGUCGCGAAAACUUUGCAAUAAGCGAAAGCUUGACAGGGCUAUCCCGAGUGCCAUCCGCUGAGGAAGGCUUUUACCCAGUCUAGAACGCUGGGGGAAUAAGGAGAGGGCAAGUCUGGUGUCAGCCGCCGCGGUAAUACCAGCUCUCCGAGUGGUGUGGAUGUUUAUUGGGCCUAAAGCAUCCGUAGCUGGCUAAGUUAGUCCCUUGUUAAAUCCACCGAAUUAAUCGUUGGAUCGCGGGGGAUACUGCUUGGCUAGGGGACGAGAGAGGCAGACGGUAUUUCCGGGGUAGGGGUGAAAUCCUAUAAUCCCGGGAAGACCACCAGUGGCGAAGGCUGUCUGCUAGAACGCGCCCGACGGUGAGGGAUGAAAGCUGGGGGAGCGAACCGGAUUAGAUACCCGGGUAGUCCCAGCUGUAAACGAUGCAGGCUAGGUGUUUGGACGGCCACGUGCCGUUCUAGUGCCGCAGGGAAGCUGUUAAGCCUGCCGCCUGGGGAGUACGAUCGCAAGAUUGAAACUUAA
rnacentral:rRNA from 1 species